rfam:Termitomyces sp. J132 unplaced genomic scaffold scaffold76, whole genome shotgun sequence.
GGCCGUGUGGCGAAAUGGCAUCGCGUCUGACUACGAUCCAUACUGCACUGUUGGGAAUUCAAUCAGGCGAUUGCAGGUUCGACCCCUGUCUCGGUCA